rnacentral:rRNA from 1 species
GACGAACGCUGGCGGCGUGCUUAACACAUGCAAGUCGAACGGAAAGGCCCUUUCGGGGGUACUCGAGUGGCGAACGGGUGAGUAACACGUGGGUGAUCUGCCCUGCACUUUGGGAUAAGCCUGGGAAACUGGGUCUAAUACCGGAUAGGACUACGCGAUGCAUGUCGUGUGGUGGAAAGCUUUUGCGGUGUGGGAUGGGCCCGCGGCCUAUCAGCUUGUUGGUGGGGUGAUGGCCUACCAAGGCGACGACGGGUAGCCGGCCUGAGAGGGUGACCGGCCACACUGGGACUGAGAUACGGCCCAGACUCCUACGGGAGGCAGCAGUGGGGAAUAUUGCACAAUGGGCGCAAGCCUGAUGCAGCG